UUGUCCCUACGGGAGGCAGCAGUGAGGAAUAUUGGUCAAUGGCCGGAAGGCUGAACCAGCCAAGUCGCGUGAGGGACGACUGCCCUAUGGGUUGUAAACCUCUUUUAUAAGGGAAGAAUAAAUGCUACGUGUAGCAUGAUGCCUGUACCUUAUGAAUAAGCAUCGGCUAACUCCGUGCCAGCAGCCGCGGUAAUACGUAGGAUGCGAGCGUUAUCCGGAUUUAUUGGGUUUAAAGGGUGCGUAGGCGGUUUUUUUAGUUAGUGUUUAAACGUAGGGGCUUC
rnacentral:rRNA from 1 species